rnacentral:sRNA from 1 species
UCUUUUUUGCUUUUACCCUUCCUCUUCGUUUUUCACCUUCAUUAGUCUGCGGUUUUCUCCCUCUUCGUCAGCCCGUCUUUUGCCCUCAAAUCCUUUCUUUUUCUUUCGCAUUUAGUUUCCAGUCUCCCCCGGUAUUGAAUCCUUUGUUAUUCGGCGUUUUGUUCUCAUCUUGCGAUCGUCGGGGCAAGAACUUUAAGGUUGGGACAAAUUUUUUGUGAAAUUGGUGACUAAUCGCAUGCUGCCUCUUCAGAUUAUUGACAAAGAAAUUAUAUUGAACUUGGGUCGGAUUGUUCAAAAAGAAAGCAAUUCUGCUAUUGAUCAGUAUAAAGACGCAACAACAAAGGUUUGAUUUGUUCAACGCUCUUGAUUGUUAUUUUCAAGCCAACUACUACAUUUUCCAACAAAUUUACAAAGAACAACCAAGCUGGAUUAUAGCCAGAUUCCGUCAAAUUAUAUCACUAUUGGUAUUCCAGCUGCCCACCUUAUAGAAAUUACAAGAUCAGAAUUUUUAAGCGACAAAAUCAACCUGCAAAUUCAGUUCAGAUUUAAGAUUUUUAAGCGAGAAUCAAGUUCAAAAUUCAAUUGAGGAUCAGGUGGGUUUUCAAGAUAAUCAAAUAAGUGGCUCUUCCUCUCAAGAACCAUAUCAAGCCUUCAAUUCCAUCCAGGCCUCUAAUAAUCCUCCACUGCUACCUACACCAAAUGUUUCUCAGUUGCAAGCCCACAACGCUCAAACUCAGCCAAACUGGAGCAGUUUUCAGAGGAACAAUUCUCAGCGAAAUUCCUUCAAUCUCGCAACAAAUUCCAUCGCCACAAUUUGGGAUUUUUACCGCUUCUCUCUGCAUGCUUCUGGCUGUUGUGUAUAUAUAUAUAUAUUAUUCAAUUGUUUGCAUUUAUUUUUUCCUUUCAUUUUUACUCAAUUAUUUUCACUUUUUCUCCAUGUGUUGCCUCAUGUAUGUUUCUCAAUUGUUUGAAUUUACUCUUUGCCUUCAGUUUUUACUGAAUUUAUUGACUUUUUGUGCAUGGGUUAAUCUAUUUGUUAUAUGUCAUGGUUAAAGGUUUGGUUUCUUUCCUUUUUCUUUUUAUCAAUCCUCUCUCUUUACCAUUUA